rnacentral:rRNA from 1 species
GACGAACGCUGGCGGCGUGCUUAACACAUGCAAGUCGAACGAAGUGGCGAACGGGUGAGUAACGCGUAAUCAACCUGCCCUUCAGAGGGGGACAACAGUUGGAAACGACUGCUAAUACCGCAUACUGAAGGAGGGGAUUGCGUCUGAUUCGCUAGUUGGCGGGGUAACGGCCCACCAAGGCGAUGAUCAGUAGCCGGCCUGAUAGGAUGACCGGCAAAAUUGGGACGGAGACAGUGCCCAGUAUCCUACGGGAGGCAGCAGGGGGGAAUCUUCCGCAAUGGACGAAAGUCUGACGGAGCAACGCCGGGUGGGUGAGGACGGCCUUCGGGUUGUAAAGCUCUGUUAAUCGGGACGCGGUACCGGAAUAGAAAGCAACGGCUAACUACGGGCCAGCAGCCGCGGUAAUAC